GUGGCGUUAGUGGUAGUACGUCGUCCGCUGCGCUUUGCUCCUACGCCUCCGCAUUUGCUCCAUAAGAUGUUGGCAGCUCAUCCAUGUACAAGUAUGAUGGGGAUGUUUUCAAUAUGAGCGGCGAAAGUCACAGCGAUGCUAAAGAAGACAUAAAAUCCCCCUCAUUUAGAUGUUCGAUACAACCUGGGACCUUCAAAUGAGGCAUCUGUUUGUCAUUUAUGCGCAUGCGCAUUUAUGCCCUUCCAGCCACCUCACGCAUUUAUGCGUGAGGUGGCUGGAAGGGCAGGAAGCAGGAUGAAGACGCAGCGAGGGUCACAGUGUUGCUUCACUCCGCAACAAGACGCCAACGAGGGAAGAGGAUGAAGAAAGAAGCUACAAUAACUAUUCCACCGAGGAAGCGGAGCUCCUCCACUGGGUGCUGCAAGUGCAAACGUGACGUUCGCCUUGUGUUGUAUGCCGGUGACGGUGCGGGAGAAAAGGGGGUCCAGAUGAAUCGGGAAAACAACCUUAAAAAUGAGUGGUGGAGACAAGACGCGCAAACUUUUGAGAACAGGACCAUACAUUGAGAUUCCCAGACAACGGAAAAGAAGCACGACCGGCGGCGAGUGAGAAGAGCAGCGCGAGCGCGACAGCCAACGCAAUCCGAGUAAAGGAGUUUACCUGGAAGCAGCUCUAGGAUGAGUAAGGCACUGCAGCGGAACUUGUUCCUGGUGGCGCUGGAGUGUGUGGUUGUUGCACGCCUUGGUGACCGACGCUGCUGAGAUGAGGGCUUCGUGAUCCAUACAUCAUUUUACUUUGUAACAAACUGUAUACGUCAGACUCGUUGAUCGGUAGUGUAGCCAGCUAGUUAAUGAGCAGCGGUGAUGCAAGAGUCCGAGAGGCUCCCAAGUAUGUUUAAUUUAAUAAAUUUUUAUUUAUUUA